CCUACGGGUGGCAGCAGUGAGGAAUAUUGGUCAAUGGACGAGAGUCUGAACCAGCCAAGUAGCGUGAAGGAUGACUGCCCUAUGGGUUGUAAACUUCUUUUAUAUGGGAAUAAAAUGUUCCACGUGUGGGAUUUUGUAUGUACCAUAUGAAUAAGGAUCGGCUAACUCCGUGCCAGCAGCCGCGGUAAUACGGAGGAUCCGAGCGUUAUCCGGAUUUAUUGGGUUUAAAGGGAGCGUAGGUGGAUUGUUAAGUCAGUUGUGAAAGUUUGCGGCUCAACCGUAAAAUUGCAGUUGAAACUGGCAGUCUUGAGUACAGUAUAGGUGGGCGGAAUUCGUGGUGUAGCGGUGAAAUGCUUAGAUAUCACGAAGAACUCCGAUUGCGAAGGCAGUUCACUGGACUGCAACUGACACUGAGGCUCGAAAGUGUGGGUAUCAAACAGGAUUAGAUACCCGAGUAGUC
rnacentral:rRNA from 1 species